UACGUAGGGUGCAAGCGUUGUCCGGAAUUAUUGGGCGUAAAGGGCGCGCAGGCGGCUUAUUUUGUCAGGCGUGAAAGCCCCGGGCUUAACCUGGGAACUGCGUUUGAUACGGAUGGGCUAGAGUUCGGGAGAGGAGAGUGGAAUUCCCAGUGUAGAGGUGAAAUUCGUAGAUAUUGGGAAGAACACCGGUGGCGAAGGCGGCUCUCUGGACCGAGACUGACGCUGAGGCGCGAAAGCGUGGGGAGCAAACAGG
rnacentral:rRNA from 1 species